rnacentral:rRNA from 1 species
UACGGAGGGUGCGAGCGUUGUCCGGAAUCACUGGGCGGAAAGGGUGCGUAGGCGGGUCUUUAAGUCAGGGGUGAAAUCCUGGAGCUCAACUCCAGAACUGCCUUUGAUACUGAGGAUCUUGAGUUCGGGAGAGGUGAGUGGAACUGCGAGUGUAGAGGUGAAAUUCGUAGAUAUUCGCAAGAACACCAGUGGCGAAGGCGGCUCACUGGCCCGAUACUGACGCUGAGGCACGAAAGCGUGGGGAGCAAACAGG